GGGCGGUUGAGCCUGAGAAGGGGCAGAGUUUGUGUGUCGCGUAGUGCGCAUGCGUACAGCUGUGUCUGUGGUGUUAAUGGGGUAAAACAAGCCUCGUUUCUUUAGGAGGGGAAAAAGCAAAAGAAGCAGACGGCAUCAGGGCCCUGAAGCUGCCUGAGAAGCAUGGUGGCUAUGGAGGAGCCAGGUUGUUCGACCAUCAUUUCCUAUUAUCCCAAAGACAACACCAUUUGUAAGCUUGUGUCCUUCAGUUUGGAUUAGCUGAAGUUGAUUAGAAACACAUUUAUGCUAACCCCAACUCACAACCUCUGCAGCUCAGAGCUACUGACCAUCAGUUCUGGAGAAGGCAGCUCAUCUCCAUCCAUGAGGCUGAGGUGGGAGAAAUCCACCAACCUGGAAUGAAAGCAAGAGCUUGCAUGGAAUUUGUUUCGCUUCAGCUUCAUGCCAUUAGAGCUCAUUAUGCCUUCUGGGGGGGUCUCAUUUUGCUAGACUCACGUCCAUAAGAAGACAUCUCCAUUGCAUGUAAGGAUUUGACAGCUUUCAGUGCUAAGUGAGCAGAGGGAGUUGGAAAGGUAAAGAAACGGAUUGAAGCUGUGCUGAGGAGCAUUGGACAACAGAACAUUUGGAUUGGAGGGGACCUUAAAUAUUGGUGAACCAUGGGAUGGUUGGGUUGGAAGGGACAUUUAAUAUCAUGUAGUUCCAGCUCCACUUGGGUUGCCUGAAAGAGGUUUGCACAUGAUUUUGAGCUUGGGGGAAAAGAAAAAUCAUAACCUCAAGGAAUGGUUACCCAAGGGGUGUGCCUAGGGGAUGGUGCCCAUCCCAGGGGAUGGAGAGUUGAGAACACUGAAGAAAAAAGCAGAAGCAGAGAGGAAGGAAUGGCAAAUAGCAUGCGUGAAGUUGGAAGGUUUGGGCAAUGCCAAUGUUGUGAUCUCAGUGUUAGGCCCUGACACACACUGAACUCAUGAACUCAUACGUCUGUUCUGCCAGCACAGAAGGGCGUUCUCCUGGAGGAAGAAGUGCACAAACUCUUGUGUCUUCCCAUCUGCAGAAGCUGAGUUUUUGGGCCAUGUCCUAGAAGAUGAGGGAAGCUUGAGGACUCAUAACCAACAACUGCUGCAUUGACUCUUCUGUCCCAGAAGCUUCCAGCACAACCAGAGACCUCACACCUGUAUGACAGCUCUCAGCAUGAAGCAAGUUGAAAUGCUGCCUACUGCUUGGCCACAUCUGCCAGGGACAGUUACUGCCCCUGUCUGUCCCUCUCUUGAUUCCAGCUUUUGCACCUAUCUGAGCUCUUGGAGUUACUGACCACAUCCCAGCUGACAGUGAACAUCCACCCAAGAGCAAGGAUGCAUUCACGAAGCCUAGGAGAGGGGUGUAAAAUGUGCAACAGGGACAUCUAUAGGACCUCCACUUCGUUAGCCAAGGGGAGUCGUGACCAAACCAGAGAGGGAAACAAGAGAUCUGGUAGCAUUCUGCCAACAGCCCACAGUGCAAGUGGUGUGAACCAUCAGUUCAACGCAAGAGAACAAGGAACAAAAAGGCAUUUCCACGCCACAGGUAUGUUCCCUCCAGCCAGCUUGGUGGCACAGCUCCUGGGGCCAAAGGGGCAGAGAGCAGCGGGGCCACGGGGCAUCUUCUGCAGGAAGGGCUUUUUGUUUUCUCUAUUUCAUUUUUGCACUUGGGAAGGAAGGCACACACAGCCCAAAGAGGUGCAGGCUGUGCCAAAGGAUGACAGCAGACCCCACAAACCCAAUCGCGAGGCAUUCCCAAAACAGGUCUCCCUAUAUUUGCCUUUUGCUUCCCAAAGUGCAAGCUUCCUUCCUUUCUUUUUCUUUUCCUUUUUUGCUCUGGAUGCUCCAGCAGAUAACAGCAGCUGCUCGAGAGCAGAGUGCAGCCGUAUGUUGCUGCUAACAAGCAUCUCCCAAAGCUGGUUUUCUUCCCACUAUUCCCCUGUGCCUGAUUAGCGCACGGCUCCUCCGAGCGACUUUCACAUUUUCAUUUUACCCUCCCCUUGAAAAUCUUUUUUUUUUUUUUUUUUUUUUCCCUUUUUUUUUUUUUUUUUUUUUUUUUUU